CAUUGUUUUUAUAUCGGACCUAUUAGAAGAGCAAUUCCCGCUUUGCAAGAGGUGGACAAAGGUGGCCCUGGUGAGGGAGGGAGAGAUUCAGCAAUGCAGGUAAAGCAUCAGGUCCAGUUACGAGAGACCUUUGGAUUUUCAGAGCUUUUUAGAUGAUGGAGUGCAUGGAGGAAUUGUGGCCCUAUAGAAGGAAUUUGGAGCUUGAUGUUUUAACUGGAUGACCUUAUGGUGUUUGAAUUAAUCAUGGGAGGGAGGCAGAGUUCUUUAGAAGAAAGCCUUUUAGUUGUUAGCAUCCUAUGCCUUGAGCCUUUGCUGAUUUCUUUGCAUGCAUGUCCGUUGCCUUCAUGGACCUUACACUGGGUGAUGGUGGCUCUGGCCAGCUUGCCCGACUCUGGACCUUGGUUCACCAGGAGUCAGGUUAAGAUACUGUACGAGUCAGAGCUGGUAUCAUUAUUCGGAGGGACCCAAACUCUAAGGUACUGCGAAUGUUCGUUGGUCUUACUGAUUAUGUUUACCAUUGAGCAGUUGCGUCCCUUCUAGUGGGGCUGGAGGAGCAGAAAUACUGCAGGAUAGGCUUGCAAAUGUGGCAGUGGGAUUGCCUCUUCCUUCUGGCUGCCAGGAUCCUUCCUCUGUGUCCCAGUCUCUGAGUGUGUGUGGCCCCAAGGGAGGUGGCAUCUGGGAUGAAUGCCUCACCACAGAAAGACUGGGUGCCCUUGGCCUCAUCCAUGUAGCCCAUUGUCAACCGUUUGAUGACCUUAAAUUUUUAAGUGAGGAAGAAACACCAUGUCUUGCUCCUUCUCAUGGCAGAAUCAAGGGCAGAAGUAGAAAAUAACCCAUAAAGUAUAUAGCAUGUUUUUAUUUUUUGUUUUUCCAUUUAAAAGCAUAUUUUAGAAUAUAGGGCAGCCAUUCAUGCUAAAAAGGCGGUACAUGUUUUUGUUGUGAGGCUGUGUCAUUGUUGUCGAUUUCAUUAUUAUGAAAUAGUUGUAGUUGUCUGAUACACAUUUGAAGGUUAUGCUUUCAGGGAAGUGUCUCAGAAUAAUGAUGUCUGAUUCAAAUUAAAAUGCUAACUUUUGAGCAUGCACCUUACACUGUCAUUGAUCUGUAGCUGAAUCUUUAGGAACAGUAAUUUUCCUAUUGAUUCUUUUGAUGCCCAUGUGCUGGGGGAGUGCGUCGUCUUCUGCCUGGCGUGCGUGUGUGUGUGUGUGCAUGUGCAUAUGUGUGUGUGUGUGUGUGUGUGUCUAGUUGUGUCACUCUUUUUCCUUCUCCUAGAAAAUUCCAUCGACCUAAACUAUUUUACUCACUAAAGAUACAUAUAUCCUCUCUGUCCCUGUAACUACAGUGACCCUGCCCAUAACACAGUACUUUUCUCUACCAACAUUUGCAGUAUGAUACACUUGAAAUAUUUUCUAAGCUUUUGACAAAAAGCUUUAAAUACAGUUUUACAACUUACUCUAGGUAAGAAGCUGUGUUGAGACUUCACAUCUGUAUGAUCAAUAACAAGAUGGCUAUUUAUGCAAAGUUUGGUGCACAAGUGAAAAUCUAGCAUAUUGGGAACUCUGGAGAGAAGUUGUGUCAUUUGAAAUCCAUCCUGUAAUUUCUCUGAUGUAUAAUCAUAAAUUCAUUUUAAUGCUCAUAGACGCUACUGAAUUUUGAUUUAAAUAUAUGUAUUAAAAAUAGUCUUAGAUCCCAGAGAGUGGAUUAUUCUUCCCAGUACCAUGUAGUGGGCUCUGGGCUAUGUUUGGAGAGUAAGUGACAGGAAAAAGGAUACAGGCUUUGCCAUUAGUGACUUUCUGUCCAGCAGGUAAGACUCGUGCAAAGGAAAAAGUGGCAAGUUUUGUAGACAAAUACCAGUGUCUGCGGAGAGGAGCAGAUGAAGGCACGUGCAGAGUGCUUGACACAGGAAGCGGUGUUUGAACAAUUCACGCGAAAUUCAGUUUAUUCCAUGGCAUGUGAACCUUUAGAAUUUGGCCUUGCCUCUUCAUUCAUCUGGCCAUCUUCAUCUCACAUUUCAGCCAUGCUGAGCUGUUUGUAGGGCCCUGCAGGUAUUAGGCUUUGUCCACUUUAGACCCAUGCUAAUGGGCAUACCUUCUGCACAAGGAGGUUUCCAUGCUGAGUAUUUAUUUUUAAACUCAUCCUAAAAUCCAAGCAUUACUCUCUGUAAAUCACAUCUUCAUAGUUGUUCAGUCUUUCCGGCCACAAAGUCCUGGAAUUCCAGAACUUGUAUGCAGGGGAUGUUCAUUGUUCAAUAAUGCCACUUACACAUUCUUGCCUUUUUUGAAGCAUGUGUACUGCUGAAGGGAUGACAGAGCAGAUAGUUGUCCCUAAGAAGUUCCCUACUGGUGAGAGACUGAGUUUUAAUGUGAAACUUUUAUGGCUGUCUAGAUGUUUGAAGAGGAGGGCACAAGAAAGCAGAAGUGGGAGUGACCGUUCUGCUUGCUGGCUGGGCGUCGGGGAAGAAUGCCCAGAGAGGAGAUGCUUGAAGUGAGUCAUGAAGGAUGAGUGGGAACUGCCAGAUGGACACAGUGGAGGAGGGUGGGACUCUGCAAGUGUGCAAAGGCAUAAGGGAGCAGGAGAAGUUACGGCACACUUAGUCCCUGCAAGCAAAAAUAGGUGUCAGGAACAGGUGCAUGAUGGCGAAGCUGGAAAGGUAGGCAGUCCAGAAAGUGUAUCGGUUCUAGAUAAGGAGUAUUUUAUCCUGCAAGUUUCAGUGGUCAUGUAAGAAUGCUAAACAGGGAAGCUCUGUAUAAUUCCCUUUGAAGGCAGGUAUUAGGGUUAUAAUAUCUUAAUAUAAAAUUGUUCAACGCAAAAGUGGUACCCUGUGCCAGCCAAGAGCUCUAACACUUCUUAGAAGCUCUGUGAAGCAUGUGUUGUGACGUCUCCACGCCUCCAUUUGUUUAUCUGCAAGGUAGGUGUGGGAGUGGCCCCUGUUGCAGAACUGAUGUGAGAAUGAGGUGGUGUGAGAAUAUAGUUGCUAAAGAACCCAACUGUUAGCCCAAGUGUACAGUAAUGAAGUGCACACUUACUGUGCACUCUGAUUUUACUAAGAAUGCCACCCGGUGUCCAGCAAGACCAUGGCAGGGUGGGAAGGAAAGGGUCCUUCCAAGUCAGCGGCAGCGCAGAUUAUUUUAGGGGCCUGAUAAAGACCAAAUGCUGUAAGCCGACUUCUAAAUAUGUCUUGAAGUCUGAGAUUGUCUUGCUUACCUGCCUCAGGAAGGAUCAUCAGAAAAUGAGGUGCAGAAAGCAAAAAUCAAUUGGAGUGUGGCAUAUCGCAUGCAGGGCCUUGAGUGGCGUUAGCCAGAUUUGACUGAUGGGGUUGAAAAUCCCACCCACAGUCAGCCUUAUUGUUUUCUGUUAUCAGCAAAAGCAGAGUCAGCCCAGGAGGCAGUCAACAGAAAACAGGGACUGUUUGAGACUGAAAGAGCUCCUCCUGCCAUGACUCAGUUGGUUCAGAGAAACAGCUGAUUCCUGGGCCACCAAAAUUGGCGUGACUUCUGCUGGCCUUUUAAGGGCAAGUCGUUAUCAGUGCAAUGGGGAUAACCCCAAAUGUGCGUUUGCAAACUCGCUGGAAAAGUCCCUCACGCAUCCUACUUGGAUACGACGGUUCAGCUGGCAGUAACCACUUAAAUGGAAUGACGCUUUUUUCAGGAAAGAAUUAGAUGUACAUGAAUACUUCAGCCAGUAAACGUGAAUGCGUAUCGGUGAGCAUACCGCUUUCCAGCAGUAGGAGGCUCCUAUCUACCAAGACAUCUUCCUAUAUCAUCGGUUUCUUAGUGAAAAAAUUAAAUAAUAUUUUUUAUAAAGUGGAAGAAGAUGGACACUUUAUAGCUUAUCUAUGGCUUUAUUAAUUGAUAAUUAUGGUUUUUUUUAGUUAUUUGGAAAAGUGUUUUGAAGUAUCUCCCUAUUACUAUUGCAAGAUUUUAGGCUAAAAACAUGAUAAAAUUUUUGGUGGGGGAAUGGUGGUGGUUUUAUCUCGCUGACUUUCCACUUAGUAUUGAGAUGUUCAUUUUCAUCAGUUUAAACAGGACCUUCAAGUGUUGUAACUCCUCAUAGACACUGUCGAAUGUAGUACAAAGGUGAGGUCAGUCAGACCGUGGUCCUUUUUGCUGAGCAGGUUUGAAAGAUUGAACGGUGAAUAAUUGUUACUCUCCUGGCCCUGUGGAAGGCACAGUCGAGCAAAGGGUUUAAUGAUGAGGUGGUGCCGUUGAUGAAGCAGAAGUGGGUGGUAAACUCUAGAUCCCAGUCCUUGAAAAUUAACCCCAAGCACCUAAUUAGUUUCCUUUUUUUUUUUUUUGCUUAGAGUUUAAUUUUGGGGUAAAGUAGUUUAUUGCCCUCGAAAAGAUACUCGGAAUAGGAAAAUGCUUCUUUUUUGGUGCUUACCCCACCCAAAGCGAUUUACCAGCGGCAGUGCUGUGGGUGCUGCUCAUCUGCGUUCUGAAGCCCCCGUUGGAGGUCUCGUUAGGCACCUGCGUGGAUUUACUUAGAGAGGACACAUCCAACUGGACCUCAGGAUUUAAAUGAAUUCCAUGGAUUAGAAGGAUGACCUUGUGGACAGAAAAAGAUUUCGUUAUUUGUCUUCCCUGCUUUCAGUGUAAACAGAAGUUGGGUGGUGUGCGUGCUGCUCGACCUGUGUGUUACACGGAAAGAAUGAGUAGAAAUUCAGCACCCCAGCAGUGGACGAUGCGUCGACUGAGUUCGAAUUCUGAGGAUCGUAGCACCACGUUCUAUUUUUCCUCCUGUCACGCUCAGCCAGUAAUCCCAUCCACAUUUCAGCCUCCAGACAUGCUUGUGUCUUUGGGCAUGAUGGGAAUACCAUGUGGGCAGAGGAUUUUAUGGUUAGAAUCCUGGUUAUAUGGGUUUUAUUUCUUGUGUGUGUAGCCAAGUAGUAUAGUGUCUGCCUUUACACAGGUGUCAAAGCUUUGCGGGUCCAAGAGAGGAUAAAACAGAGGCGGCUGAAAGCCUUGAACUUCCAGGGUCUGUUUCUAGUGGAAACGCAGCUCACAGCUAUAUGCUGAAGGGAGAGGGCUUUGGAAGCCGCAAAAUGAUCACAGCAAAUGGAAAAGUUCUAACAGUGUACUGCUAAUUGAUUAGCUUUAUAUGUGAAGGGGUGCAGUUGUAUGCUAUUCCAGCCAACUGUCUUUCUUUGUUGGUUUGUUCUUGGUAGGUUUAUCUGACUCUUAAACCAGAUCCCUUCACUGCCUGUUCAAAGCAGUUUUAUUCUGCACCACGGCCUGAUCGAUUUGACCAGGGGCUGCGUCUCCAUGACAGCUAGCUGUGGCGAUGGGGGGUAAAUUAAAAUAGCCUAUGGCCAGGGUCAGGCCAGCUCUGACAGGUGCCCUAAGGCCUGGCAACAAAGUGCUCAAAUUCUAUUUUCUCCUCUAGUUAAAAACAAGUUUUAAAAAAAGGUAUCAUUUAAAGUACAUGAGAUGCAGUAAGUCAUUUCCUCUUUCUGCAGAUUGUUGAUGGAGAAUCUACAGGAAGGCCUCGCAGGGAUGUUGCCCUGUUCCCACAGCAGUUCGAUGCUGAUGGGAAGUACGUUUUUGGUAUUUGCUGCAGCUUCGUUUAUGUGGUCCUUUUGCUUUAUUCCGAAGUACUUUAUUUAGCAUAGGAUGGUUUCAAGUUUGGAAGGUAAGUGGUACAUGUAUUUGCCCCAGUUUAAAGGUAACGAAACCGAUGCUUGGAAUAAAGUUCAGUGGUCUCUUUGAAUUCGGAGCAAAGAUGAUGGGUAGAGUUUUGAACGAACUGUAUUUCUGAUCAAGAGAGGCAUGUGGCUGCUGAGGCGAUGGGGUGGGGAUUCUGUGACUCCUCACUUUGGGGCAUUCUCCACCACGAGAGGACUUUAAUUAUACCUCUGCAACAUCGAGGGGAGCCUUGCUUAUUUUAAAAUCAGUAAUGACAGCUGGAGGAAAAAAAGCACGAUCUGCUUGUUUUGUUGGGGCGGCGGGAGUGGAAAGGACAAGCACAUUCUUCUUGGGAGGACGUCUUUUCUGCUUGUGUUUUGGGGCCCGUGUGUCUGUCUUUGACAUAGGCUUCUGCACCCUUGAGUGAUGGUAAAUCGUAGUCAUGUGAAGCGGUCUCUUGCUUCUCUACAUCAUACGUGGGUCAAGUAUGAUAAGAUUUCCAUUCUCGCUGUGAAAGAUCAUUGUGGAUAACGUGCUUUUCUCAGGAGUGUCGACUUGACUAUCACUUUUUUUUCAUUCUCAAAAGGGCUAAUAAAACCCGCCUCUGGAAUGAAUAAGUACAUUAUCACAGGUGUUUAAAUUGUUCAAAUAGCAUGUUUAUCCCCUCCUCGAGUAAAGACGUAUCGUCCCAGCACAAACACUGUCAAUCGAAGAGCUCGAAUGUGUCCUUCAAUCCGCUCAAGAUCACUUUGGAUAGCUAGGGUUCAAUCAGAUACCGCAUUUAAUCAGCUAAUUACAUACAGCAGAGGUUUCUCUGCCAAACAAAUGACAGGGGAGGAAUAAUUCCAUAAGUGUGUAGCCCUGAAUGGUUUUUUUUUUCUUUCUUUUCACCCCAACGAAAUAGUCUUUGAGGAAAUCCUGCUGACAAGGUUAAAGUUGUAUAUGCCUCACAUUUUGAAAUGCUUGCUCGUUACUUUAGGAGAAAUAUGGGAACAUUUUAUUGUGUUUAGGAAAGAAAAUUCAUUCGGGAUUUCCUCCCUUCCUCAUCCCUGGUGCCCUCAUCUCCAUGUUCCCCUUUCUGCAUUAACCUUUUCUCUUCAAGGUGUCCUGAGGCUCGGUCUUUUUGGCUGCAUCAUUGGUUUGUCAUAGGGACAGUUUCCUGGUCCUUAGAACAGACGGUAAAGCUUUCUUGUGGUCCUUCUUUAAGUCUUGUACUUGUAUACGGCUUUAGGUCAUUCCAGAAGCCAUGCUUAGACAACUCUUCCAAGUUAGUAGGGUGCAGAUUCAGCUCUUUGAGGCCCAGUGAAGCUAGAAUUGGCCCAAGCAGGUGAAUGUUGCCGUGGAGAUGGGGACGCAGGUCUGUCUGCUCCAGAUCUUUGCCUUCGCGCUUGAACAUUCCAGAGUAGUGCCGCGGCCAAGGUGAAAUAAUCUGCUCAUCUUCCUCCUCACAGUGCAGUCUUGGGUAGGAGGGGAAGUCCUGUCUCAGUCAGGGAUCUAUUACACCGAGCAUGUGCAGUGAAUGUAGUUGUAAGCCUGCAGGAGUUGGGAAGAUAGCACUGCUGUGGUCCUGGGACUCUUGGAAGCUCUGCUCCAGCUGUUCUCCUUGCUGUUGCAGGGCUUGUUGCCUACUUCUAGUGUUGGGUUUUUCUCCUGUCACCAGUAAGGUUUCAUGUGAGCAUUUGUCAGAUAGUCAAGGUUGACAGGAUUUUCUCAUAUAAACAACUUAGCGUGGUGCUUGGAACCUGGGAGCACGCAAUAUCGGCAGUAUGUAUCCUGAGCAUAAUCCCUGUUCUUUUCUCUCUGCAUUGCAUUUUCUAGGAGGCCCCUGGGUUUGGAGGCAGCGUGGCUGUGCUGAGGCGACAUGGCUGGGUCAGCGUUUGUGGGGCAAGGAUUAAUCUCAUCCUUCAGUGAGUGUCAGGAGUCUCUUUCUCCUUGCUAUCAAGAAGUCCUGCUUGGAUGUUAAUGGCCCAAAGGGGACUUGGUCCUAAGGGUUGGUGAAAAGGCAACAGCUUUUUCAAGGGGGCAGAAAAUAAGGGAGACUCCAUAAAGGGAUGAGGUUACAUUCUGAGAAGCAACGAUAGUGACUACCAUGGCAGGUGGCUGUGUUGGCCAUACAGAGCUGUCAUGGAGCACCUGCCGGAGUGUUGAUCCACCUGCAGAUGAAGAAGAUGGUAAAUACACGCCUUGAGGUUCGUGGGGCUGGUUUAUGGAAACAAGCAGAAAAUGGCUGUGAACCCUCACACUUCACAUGGAAAGUGAAUGCAGAUUUUGCGUAUUUAACGUCAUCAUUUUGGAAUUGUUAUGUACACUAUUUCAGAAUUAGUGAAAUAGACAAUCUAGAAAUAAGAGCUGUGUUUAUACUGGGAAUUCCUUCUGUUGCAUGUCUCUGGGUCACUUCAGGACCGUUUUCACAUCUCAGUUUAAGUCAUAACUAAUGAUAAUAAAAAAAAUCCAGAGUUCCUGUCAAGGCUCAGUGGAAACGAAUCUGACUAGUAUCCGUGAAGAUGUGGGUUCGAUCACUGGCCUUGCUUGUUGGGUUAAGGAUCUGGCAUUGCUGUGAGCUGUCAUGUAGGUUGCAGACGCAGCUUGGAUCUGGCAUUGCUGUGGCUCUGGUGUAGGCCCUGGCUGCAGCUCCAAUUGGACCUCUAGCCUGGGAACCUCCGUAUGCCU
rnacentral:lncRNA from 1 species